AAGUUAUAUUCAUAAUGAACAUCAUCUGACCUCGAUUGGAUCGAUCAUAAAGUUGAUGUAGCUUAGGAUAUUUUUAAAGCAUAACAAGUAAACAUCAAAAUGUUAAAAUAAUUUGACCUUGAGAAUUAGAUUGAUUAGUCAAAAGCAAACCAAUAUUAAUGAAUCAAACACUUAUAAUAGAAGUCUAAGAGGUACCUCUGCUUGAUGUCAAAAUAGAUAGAUCAAGUCUCCCAUAUAUCAAAUGGGGUCCCAACUUAUGAUGUUCCAUCUUCUUUCCUUUCAAGGGUAUAUCAUCCAAAAAUUCAAACCAG
rnacentral:lncRNA from 1 species